GACGAACGCUGGCGGCGUGCUUAACACAUGCGAGUCGAACGGAAAGGCCCUGCUUUUGUGGGGUGCUCGAUUGGCGAACGGGUGAGUAACACGUGAGUAACCUGCCCUUGUCUUUGUGAUAACUUCAGGAAACUGGGGCUAAUACCGGAUAGGAGCUCCUGCUGCAUGGUGGGGGUUGGAAAGUUUCGGCGGUUGGGGAUGGACUCGCGGCUUACCAGCUUGUUGGUGGGGUAGUGGCUUACCAAGGGUUUGACGGGUAGCCGGCCUGAGAGGGUGACCGGCCACAUUGGGACUGAGAUACGGACCAGACUCCUACGGGAGGCAGCAGUGGGGAAUAUUGCACAAUGGGCGGAAGCCUGAUGCAGCAACGCCGCGUGCGGGAUGACGGCCUUCGGGUUGUAAACCGCUUUCGCCUGUGACGAAGCGUGAGUGACGGUAAUGGGUAAAGAAGCACCGGCUAACUACGUG
rnacentral:rRNA from 1 species